rnacentral:ncRNA from 1 species
CCUCGGGGAGCCAAAAUUGGCUGAGAUGCAUUAGUGAACCCGUAGAACCUGAACCGGCUAGAACCGGCGGAGGGAAGGUUUGG